ACGGCAGUGGUCUAGUGGUAUGAUCCGAGCUUCCCAAGCUUGUGGUCCGGGUUCGAUUCCCGGCUGCCGUA
rnacentral:tRNA from 1 species